rnacentral:rRNA from 1 species
AUACGGAGGGUGCUAGCGUUAUUCGGAUUUACUGGGCGUAAAGAGAGCGUAGGCGGUUAAUAAAGUUGGAUGUGAAAGCCCGGGGCUCAACCUCGGAACUGCAUUCAAAACUCAUUAACUAGAAUUUGGUAGAGGAUAGUGGAAUUCCUAGUGUAGAGGUGAAAUUCGUAGAUAUUAGGAGGAACACCAGUGGCGAAGGCGACUAUCUGGACCAACAUGGACGCUAAGGCUCGAAAGCGUGGGGAGCAAACAGGAUUAGAAACCCUAGUAGUCC